rnacentral:rRNA from 1 species
GACGAACGCUGGCGGCGUGCUUAACACAUGCAAGUCGAACGGAAAGGCCCUGCUCUUGUGCGUUGCUCGAUUGGCGAACGGGUGUGUAACACGUGUGUAACCUGCCCUUGACUUUGGGAUAACUUCAGGAAACUGGGGCUAAUACCGGAUAGGAUCUCCUGCUGCAUGGUGGGGGUUGGAAAGUUUCGGCGGUUGGGGAUGGACUGGCGGCUUAUCAGCUUGUUUGUGGGGUUGUUGCUUACCAAGGCUUUGACGGGUAGCCGGCCUGAGAGGGUGAACGGCGACAAGGGGCCUGAGGUAGGGCCCAGUCUCCUACGGGAGGCAGCAGUGGGGAACAUUGCACAAUGGGGCGAAGUCAGAUACAGCAACGCCGCGUGCGGGAUAACGGCCUUCGGGUUGUAAACCACUUUCGCCUGUGACGAAGCGUGAGUGACGGUAAUGGGUAAAGAAGCACCGGCUAACUACGUG